rnacentral:rRNA from 1 species
CCUACGGGUGGCAGCAGUGGGGAAUAUUGCACAAUGGGGGAAACCCUGAUGCAGCGACGCCGCGUGAGUGAAGAAGUAUUUCGGUAUGUAAAGCUCUAUUAGCAGGGAAGAAAAUGAUGGUACCUGACUAAGAAGCCCCAGCUAACUACGUGCAAGCAGACGCGGUAAUACGUAGGGGGCAAGGGGUAUACGGAUUUCAUGGGUGGAAAGGGAGCGUAGACGGCCAGACAAGUCAGAAGUGAAAGCCCAGGGCUCAACACUGGGACGGCUUUUGAAACUUCCGGGCUGGAGUGCAGGAGAGGUAAGCGGCAUUCCUAGUGUAGCGGUGACACGCGUAUAUAUUAGGAGGAACACCAGUGGCGAAGGCGGCUUACUGGACUGUAACUGACGUUGAGGCUCGAAAGCGUGGGGAGCAAACAGGAUUAGAUACCCUAGUAGUC